rnacentral:rRNA from 1 species
AUACAUGCAAGUCGAGGGGUAACAGGAAGUGCUUGCACUUCGCUGACGACCGGCGCACGGGUGAGUACCGCGUAUACAAUCUGCCUCAUACUAGGGAAUAGCCCGAAGAAAUUUGGAUUAAUGCCCUAUAGUAUCUUUUUAAGGCAUCUUAUUAAGAUUAAAGGUUACGGUAUGAGAUGAGUAUGCGUUCUAUUAGCUAGUAGGUGUGGUAAUGGCACACCUAGGCAACGAUAGAUAGGGGCCCUGAGAGGGGGAUCCCCCACACUGGUACUGAGACACGGACCAGACUCCUACGGGAGGCAGCAGUAAGGAAUAUUGGACAAUGGGCGAAAGCCUGAUCCAGCCAUGCCGCGUGCAGGAUGACUGCCCUAUGGGUUGUAAACUGCUUUUAUAUAGGAAGAAAAACUUUCUCGUGAGAAAGCUUGACGGUACUAUAAGAAUAA